GGGCGUAUGGUGUAGUGGUAUCACUCAUGCUUUGCAGUAUUUAACUCCAUGUAUGCGGUCCAGGGUUCAAACCCCUGUGCGUCCA